CCUCUUCGAUCUGCUGUGGGCAGAUGAAGUGGAUAUGCGAGUCGAUGCCGCCCGCGGUGAGGAUCAUGCCUUCGCCGGCGAUGACUUCCGUCGCCGCGCCGAUGGCGAUGGUCACGUCGGGCUGAAUGUCCGGGUUACCCGCCUUGCCGAUGGCAGCGAUGCGGCCAUCCUUCAAACCCACGUCAGCCUUGACGAUGCCCCAGUGGUCGAGGAUCAGCGCGUUGGUGAUCAGCGUAUCGACCACAUCCGCAGCGCACAGCUGGCCCUGGCCCAUGCCAUCGCGG
rnacentral:sRNA from 1 species